GGGCAGCGUGCGGUGCGGCAGAGAGUCCAUGGCAGGGUUGUGAUUCAAAUUCAAAGAAGACAUAAGAUUGGGACAGUCUGUUAGGUCUGUAGAGUGGUCUGCAAGAACAGCAAUAUGAUUCUUCCAUUCAGUCGAUUUGGAUUCUCAAUAAGUCAAAUGCCUCCUCUGGUGAGAAGCAGAGUCUGGAACAAACUGGAUUUCAGCACGGAAGGUCGGGCAUGGAGGAAGAGAUGGAGACAAGGGUCGAUUUAUAGAUUUCUCUUUGGCUCAGGGAACAUGUCAGAAGAAAUGUUUUGAAAACGUCUGAAUGGGAGUGUCACUAGCGAUGCCGUUAUUGGAUGACCAUCUCUAACUGUGCAUGAAAACUCCUUGAACAGCUCCUUGAAGCGCUGCAGACUUUGUAUGUAGUUUGCGACCGCUGGAACCUGCCUCUCAUGCAGAAUAAACGUUGGUUUCCCCCUUAAAUUAGUAUUCUUACA